rnacentral:rRNA from 1 species
CAGCUCGCCUACAUGAAGUCGGAAUUGCUAGUAAUCGCGGAUCAGCAUGCCGCGGUGAAUACGUUCCCGGGCCUUGUACACACCGCCCGUCACACCAUGGGAGUCGGUAACACCCGAAGCCUGUAGUCUAACGAAAGAGGACGUCGUCGAAGGUGGGAUUGAUGACUGGGGUGAAGUCGUAACAAGGUACC